rnacentral:tRNA from 1 species
GCCAGUUUGGCUCAGUGGAAAGAGCAUCAGCCUGCAGACUGAAGGGUACUGGGUUCGAUUCUAGUCAAGGGCA